AUCCCAAUGAGAUUUCACUUAAAAGUCUAGUCUGUGUUAACGUUCUGCUAUACCGUACGAGCUAACUCACCUGGGAGCAGCUCCUCAACAUGACGAAGAUGAUGCUGUUCCAAGCACUUCUCUGGGCACUUCUCGGCUCAGCAUUCUUAAAGACUGCUGCAGCAACAACAAGUACACCAACUACUGCAAAUGCAACAACAUCCACGAGCUUUGAGACAUCGACUACAACACCUGAACCAGAUUUGACUACAACACCUGAACAAACUACCACUACUUAUGCCACAACUACUAUGGGGCCAACUACAUCCACAACCAAGGUGCCAACAACUACUUCACCUGAACCAACUACUACUACUGAUGAACCAACAACAUUGACGACAACUCUUAUAACUACGACCACGACCAGUGAGCCAACUACUACCCCUGAAUUAACUUCCACUACUGAAUUAACAUCAACAACAACUGCACAAACUACAACACUCGAACAAACUACAUCCACUACCAUGGUGCCAACAACUACUUCUCCUGAACCAACUACUACUACUACCAGUGAGCCAACUACUACCCCUGAAAUAACAACCACAACACCUGAACAAACUACCACAACUUAUACAACAACUACACCUGAACCAACUACUACUACUGCACAAACUACAACACCUGAACUAACUACAACAACUACACCUGAACCAACUACUACUACUAAUGAGCCAACAACAUUGACUACAACUGUUAUGACUACGACCACGACCAGUGAGCCAACUACUACCCCUGAAAUAACGACCACAACACCUGGACAAACGACCACAACUUAUGCAACAACUACACCUGAACCAACUACUACUACUGCACAAACUACAACACCUGAACUAACUACAACAACUGCACCUGAACCAACUACUACUACUAAUGAGCCAACAACAUUGACUACAACUGUUAUAACUACAACCACGACCAGUGAGCCAACUACUACCCCUGAAUUAACUACCACUACUGAAUUAACAUCAACUACUACUGCACAAACUACAACAGCCGAACAAACUACAUCCACUACCAUGGUGCCAACAACUACUUCACCUGAACCAACUACUACUACUACCAGUGAGCCAACUACUACCCCUGAAAUAACUACCACAACACCUGAACAAACUACCACAACUUAUACAACAACUACACCUGAACCAACUACUACUACUGCACAAACUACAACACCUGAACUAACUACAACAACUACACCUGAACCAACUACUACUACUAAUGAGCCAACAACAUUGACUACAACUGUUAUGACUACGACCACGACCAGUGAGCCAACUACUACUCCUGAAAUAACGACCACAACACCUGAACAAACGACCACAACUUAUGCAACAACUACACCUGAACCAACUACUACUACUGCACAAACUACAACACCUGAACUAACUACAACAACUACACCUGAACCAACUACUACUACUAAUGAGCCAACAACAUUGACUACAACUGUUAUAACUACGACCACGACCAGUGAGCCAACUACUACCCCUGAAUUAACUACCACUACUGAAUUAACAUCAACUACUACUGCACAAACUACAACAGCCGAACAAACUACAUCCACUACCAUGGUGCCAACAACUACUUCACCUGAACCAACUACUACUACUACCAGUGAGCCAACUACUACCCCUGAAAUAACUACCACAACACCUGAACAAACUACCACAACUUAUACAACAACUACACCUGAACCAACUACUACUACUGCACAAACUACAACACCUGAAGUAACUACAACAACUACACCUGAACCAACUACUACUACUAAUGAGCCAACAACAUUGACUACAACUGUUAUGACUACGACCACGACCAGUGAGCCAACUACUACCCCUGAAAUAACGACCACAACACCUGAACAAACGACCACAACUUAUGCAACAACUACACCUGAACCAACUACUACUACUGCACAAACUUCAACACCUGAACAAACUACCACAACUUAUACAACAACUACACCUGAACCAACUACUACUACUGCACAAACUACAACACCUGAACUAACUACAACAACUACACCUGAACCAACUACUACUACUAAUGAGCCAACAACAUUGACUACAACUGUUAUAACUACGACCACGACCAGUGAGCCAACUACUACCCCUGAAUUAACUACCACUACUGAAUUAACAUCAACUACUACUGCACAAACUACAACAGCCGAACAAACUACAUCCACUACCAUGGUGCCAACAACUACUUCACCUGAACCAACUACUACUACUACCAGUGAGCCAACUACUACCCCUGAAAUAACUACCACAACACCUGAACAAACUACCACAACUUAUACAACAACUACACCUGAACCAACUACUACUACUGCACAAACUACAACACCUGAACUAACUACAACAACUACACCUGAACCAACUACUACUACUAAUGAGCCAACAACAUUGACUACAACUGUUAUGACUACGACCACGACCAGUGAGCCAACUACUACUCCUGAAAUAACGACCACAACACCUGAACAAACGACCACAACUUAUGCAACAACUACACCUGAACCAACUACUACUACUGCACAAACUACAACACCUGAACUAACUACAACAACUACACCUGAACCAACUACUACUACUAAUGAGCCAACAACAUUGACUACAACUGUUAUAACUACGACCACGACCAGUGAGCCAACUACUACCCCUGAAUUAACUACCACUACUGAAUUAACAUCAACUACUACUGCACAAACUACAACAGCCGAACAAACUACAUCCACUACCAUGGUGCCAACAACUACUUCACCUGAACCAACUACUACUACUACCAGUGAGCCAACAACUACCCCUGAAAUAACUACCACAACACCUGAACAAACUACCACAACUUAUACAACAACUACACCUGAACCAACUACUACUACUGCACAAACUACAACACCUGAACUAACUACAACAACUACACCUGAACCAACUACUACUACUAAUGAGCCAACAACAUUGACUACAACUGUUAUGACUACGACCACGACCAGUGAGCCAACUACUACCCCUGAAAUAACGACCACAACACCUGAACAAACGACCACAACUUAUGCAACAACUACACCUGAACCAACUACUACUACUGCACAAACUACAACACCUGAACUAACUACAACAACUACACCUGAACCAACUACUACUACUAAUGAGCCAACAACAUUGACUACAACUGUUAUAACUACGACCACGACCAGUGAGCCAACUACUACCCCUGAAUUAACUACCACUACUGAAUUAACAUCAACUACUACUGCACAAACUACAACAGCCGAACAAACUACAUCCACUACCAUGGUGCCAACAACUACUUCACCUGAACCAACUACUGCUACUACCAGUGAGCCAACAACUACCCCUGAAAUAACUACCACAACACCUGAACAAACUACCACAACUUAUACAACAACUACACCUGAACCAACUACUACUACUGCACAAACUACAACACCUGAACUAACUACAACAACUACACCUGAACCAACUACUACUACUAAUGAGCCAACAACAUUGACUACAACUGUUAUGACUACGACCACGACCAGUGAGCCAACUACUACCCCUGAAAUAACGACCACAACACCUGACCAAACGACCACAACUUAUGCAACAACUACACCUGAACCAACUACUACUACUGCACAAACUACAACACCUGAACUAACUACAACAACUACACCUGAACCAACUACUACUACUAAUGAGCCAACAACAUUGACUACAACUGUUAUAACUACGACCACGACCAGUGAGCCAACUACUACCCCUGAAUUAACUACCACUACUGAAUUAACAUCAACUACUACUGCACAAACUACAACAGCCGAACAAACUACAUCCACUACCAUGGUGCCAACAACUACUUCACCUGAACCAACUACUACUACUACCAGUGAGCCAACUACUACCCCUGAAAUAACUACCACAACACCUGAACAAACUACCACAACUUAUACAACAACUACACCUGAACCAACUACUACUACUGCACAAACUACAACACCUGAACUAACUACAACAACUACACCUGAACCAACUACUACUACUAAUGAGCCAACAACAUUGACUACAACUGUUAUGACUACGACCACGACCAGUGAGCCAACUACUACCCCUGAAAUAACAACCACAACACCUGAACAAACGACCACAACUUAUGCAACAACUACACCUGAACCAACUACUACUACUGCACAAACUACAACACCUGAACUAACUACAACAACUACACCUGAACCAACUACUACUACUAAUGAGCCAACAACAUUGACUACAACUGUUAUAACUACGACCACGACCAGUGAGCCAACUACUACCCCUGAAUUAACUACCACUACUGAAUUAACAUCAACUACUACUGCACAAACUACAACAGCCGAACAAACUACAUCCACUACCAUGGUGCCAACAACUACAUCACCUGAACCAACUACUACUACUACCAGUGAGCCAACUACUACCCCUGAAAUAACUACCACAACACCUGAACAAACUACCACAACUUAUACAACAACUACACCUGAACCAACUACUACUACUGCACAAACUACAACACCUGAACUAACUACAACAACUACACCUGAACCAACUACUACUACUAAUGAGCCAACAACAUUGACUACAACUGUUAUGACUACGACCACGACCAGUGAGCCAACUACUACCCCUGAAAUAACGACCACAACACCUGAACAAACGACCACAACUUAUGCAACAACUACACCUGAACCAACUACUACUACUGCACAAACUUCAACACCUGAACAAACUACCACAACUUAUACAACAACUACACCUGAACCAACUACUACUACUGCACAAACUACAACACCUGAACUAACUACAACAACUACACCUGAACCAACUACUACUACUAAUGAGCCAACAACAUUGACUACAACUGUUAUGACUACGACCACGACCAGUGAGCCAACUACUACCCCUGAAAUAACGACCACAACACCUGAACAAACGACCACAACUUAUGCAACAACUACACCUGAACCAACUACUACUACUGCACAAACUUCAACACCUGAACAAACUACCACAACUUAUACAACAACUACACCUGAACCAACUACUACUACUGCACAAACUACAACACCUGAACUAACUACAACAACUACACCUGAACCAACUACUACUACUAAUGAGCCAACAACAAUGACUACAACUGUUAUGACUACGACCACGACCAGUGAGCCAACUACUACCCCUGAAAUAACGACCACAACACCUGAACAAACGACCACAACUUAUGCAACAACUACACCUGAACCAACUACUACUACUGCACAAACUACAACACCUGAACUAACUACAACAACUACACCUGAACCAACUACUACUACUAAUGAGCCAACAACAUUGACUACAACUGUUAUAACUACGACUACGACCAGUGAGCCAACUACUACCCCUGUAUUAACUACCACUACUGAAUUAACAUCAACUACUACUGCACAAACUACAACAGCCGAACAAACUACAUCCACUACGAUGGUGCCAACAACUACUUCACCUGAACCAACUACUACUACCACCAGUGAGCCAACUACUACCACUGAAAUAACUACCACAACACCUGAACAAACUACCACAACUUAUACAACAACUACACCUGAACCAACUACUACUACUGCACAAACUACAACACCUGAACUAACUACAACAACUACACCUGAACCAACUACUACUACUAAUGAGCCAACAACAUUGACUACAACUGUUAUGACUACGACCACGACCAGUGAGCCAACUACUACCCCUGAAAUAACAACCACAACACCUGAACAAACGACCACAACUUAUGCAACAACUACACCUGAACCAACUACUACUACUGAACAAACUACAACACCUGAACUAACUACAACAACUACACCUGAACCAACUACUACUACUAAUGAGCCAACAACAUUGACUACAACUGUUAUAACUACGACCACGACCAGUGAGCCAACUACUACCCCUGAAUUAACUACCACUACUGAAUUAACAUCAACUACUACUGCACAAACUACAACAGCCGAACAAACUACAUCCACUACCAUGGUGCCAACAACUACUUCACCUGAACCAACUACUACUACUACCAGUGAGCCAACUACUACCCCUGAAAUAACUACCACAACACCUGAACAAACUACCACAACUUAUACAACAACUACACCUGAACCAACUACUACUACUGCACAAACUACAACACCUGAACUAACUACAACAACUACACCUGAACCAACUACUACUACUAAUGAGCCAACAACAUUGACUACAACUGUUAUGACUACGACCACGACCAGUGAGCCAACUACUACCCCUGAAAUAACGACCACAACACCUGAACAAACGACCACAACUUAUGCAACAACUACACCUGAACCAACUACUACUACUGCACAAACUUCAACACCUGAACAAACUACCACAACUUAUACAACAACUACACCUGAACCAACUACUACUACUGCACAAACUACAACACCUGAACUAACUACAACAACUACACCUGAACCAACUACUACUACUAAUGAGCCAACAACAAUGACUACAACUGUUAUGACUACGACCACGACCAGUGAGCCAACUACUACCCCUGAAAUAACGACCACAACACCUGAACAAACGACCACAACUUAUGCAACAACUACACCUGAACCAACUACUACUACUGCACAAACUACAACACCUGAACUAACUACAACAACUACACCUGAACCAACUACUACUACUAAUGAGCCAACAACAUUGACUACAACUGUUAUAACUACGACUACGACCAGUGAGCCAACUACUACCCCUGUAUUAACUACCACUACUGAAUUAACAUCAACUACUACUGCACAAACUACAACAGCCGAACAAACUACAUCCACUACGAUGGUGCCAACAACUACUUCACCUGAACCAACUACUACUACCACCAGUGAGCCAACUACUACCACUGAAAUAACUACCACAACACCUGAACAAACUACCACAACUUAUACAACAACUACACCUGAACCAACUACUACUACUAAUGAGCCAACAACAUUGACUACAACUGUUAUAACUACGACCACGACCAGUGAGCCAACUACUACUACUGAAUUAACAUCAACUACAACUGCACAAACUACAACAGCUGAACAAACUACAUCUACUACCAUGGUGCCAACAACUACUUCACCUGAACCAACUACUACUACAACCAGUGAGCCAACUACUACCCCUAAAAUAACUACAACAACACCUGAACAAACUACCACUACUUAUACAACAACUACACCUGAACCAACUACUACUACUAAUGAGCCAACAACAACUACUACCCCUGAAAUAACUACCACAACACCUGAACAAACUACCACAACUUAUACAACAACUACACCUGAACCAACUACUACUACUAAUGAGCCAACAACAUUGACUACAACUGUUAUAACUACGACCACGACCAGUGAGCCAACUACUACUACUGAAUUAACAUCAACUACAACUGCACAAACUACAACAGCCGAACAAACUACAUCUACUACCAUGGUGCCAACAACUACUUCACCUGAACCAACUACUACUACUACCAGUGAGCCAACUACUACCCCUGAAAUAACUACCACAACAUCUGAACAAACUACCACUACUUAUACAACAACUACACCUGAACCAACUACUACUACUAAUGAACCAACAACAUUGACUACAACUGUUAUAACAACGACCACGACCAGUGAGCCAACUACUACUACUGAAUUAACAUCAACUACAACUGCACAAACUACAACAGCCGAACAAACUACAUCUACUACCAUGGUGCCAACAACUACUUCACCUGAACCAACUACUACUACUACCAGUGAGCCAACUACGACCCCUGAAAUAACUACCACAACACCUGAACAAACUACCACUACUUAUACAACAACUACACCUGAACCAACUACUACUACUAAUGAGCCAACAACAUUGACUACAACUGUUAUAACUACGACCACGACCAGUGAGCCAACUACUACUACUGAAUUAACAUCAACUGCACAAACUACAACAGCCGAACAAACUACAUCUACUACCAUGGUGCCAACAACUACUUCACCUGAACCAACUACUACUACUACCAGUGAGCCAACUACUACCCCUGAAAUAACUACCACCACACCUGAACAAACUACCACUACUUAUACAACAACUACACCUGAAUCAACUACUACUACUAAUGAGCCAACAACAUUGACUACAACUGUUAUAAGUACGACCACGACCAGUGAGCCAACUACUACCCCUGGAUUACCUACCACUACUGAAUUAACAUCAACUACUACUGCACAAACUACAACAGCCGUACAAACUACAUCCACUACCAUGGUGCCAACAACUACUUCACCUGAACCAACUACUACUACUACUACCAGUGAGCCAACUACUACCCCUGAAAUAACUACCACAACACCUGAACAAACUACCACUACUUAUACAACAACUACACCUGAACCAACUACUACUACUAAUGAGCCAACAACUACUACCCCUGAAAUAACUACCACAACACCUGAACAAACUACCACAACUUAUACAACAACUACACCUGAACAAACUACCACAACUUAUACAACAACUACACCUGAACCAACUACUACUACUAAUGAGCCAACAACAUUGACUACAACUGUUAUAACUAUGACCACGACCAGUGAGCCAACUACUACUACUGAAUUAACAUCAACUACAACUGCACAAACUACAACAGCCGAACAAACUACAUCUACUACCAUGGUGCCAACAACUACUUCACCUGAACCAACUACUACUACAACCAGUGAGCCAACUACUACCCCUGAAAUAACUACCACAACACCUGAACAAACUACCACUACUUAUACAACAACUACACCUGAACCAACUACUACUACUAAUGAGCCAACAACUACUACCCCUGAAAUAACUACCACAACACCUGAACAAACUACCACAACUUAUACAACAACUACACCUGAACAAACUACCACAACUUAUACAACAACUACACCUGAACCAACUACUACUACUAAUGAGCCAACAACAUUGACUACAACUGUUAUAACUACGACCACGACCAGUGAGCCAACUACUACUACUGAAUUAACAUCAACUACAACUGCACAAACUACAACAGCCGAACAAACUACAUCUACUACCAUGGUGCCAACAACUACUUCACCUGAACCAACUACUACUACAACCAGUGAGCCAACUACUACCCCUGAAAUAACUACCACAACACCUGAACAAACUACCACUACUUAUACAACAACUACACCUGAACCAACUACUACUACUAAUGAACCAACAACAUUGACUACAACUGUUAUAACAACGACCACGACCAGUGAGCCAACUACUACUACUGAAUUAACAUCAACUACAACUGCACAAACUACAACAGCCGAACAAACUACAUCUACUACCAUGGUGCCAACAACUACUUCACCUGAACCAACUACUACUACUACCAGUGAGCCAACUACGACCCCUGAAAUAACUACCACAACACCUGAACAAACUACCACUACUUAUACAACAACUACACCUGAACCAACUACUACUACUAAUGAGCCAACAACAUUGACUACAACUGUUAUAACUACGACCACGACCAGUGAGCCAACUACUACUACUGAAUUAACAUCAACUGCACAAACUACAACAGCCGAACAAACUACAUCUACUACCAUGGUGCCAACAACUACUUCACCUGAACCAACUACUACUACUACCAGUGAGCCAACUACUACCCCUGAAAUAACUACCACCACACCUGAACAAACUACCACUACUUAUACAACAACUACACCUGAAUCAACUACUACUACUAAUGAGCCAACAACAUUGACUACAACUGUUAUAAGUACGACCACGACCAGUGAGCCAACUACUACCCCUGGAUUACCUACCACUACUGAAUUAACAUCAACUACUACUGCACAAACUACAACAGCCGUACAAACUACAUCCACUACCAUGGUGCCAACAACUACUUCACCUGAACCAACUACUACUACUACCAGUGAGCCAACUACUACCCCUGAAAUAACUACCACAACACCUGAACAAACUACCACUACUUAUACAACAACUACACCUGAACCAACUACUACUACUAAUGAGCCAACAACUACUACCCCUGAAAUAACUACCACAACACCUGAACAAACUACCACAACUUAUACAACAACUACACCUGAACAAACUACCACAACUUAUACAACAACUACACCUGAACCAACUACUACUACUAAUGAGCCAACAACAUUGACUACAACUGUUAUAACUACGACCACGACCAGUGAGCCAACUACUACUACUGAAUUAACAUCAACUACAACUGCACAAACUACAACAGCCGAACAAACUACAUCUACUACCAUGGUGCCAACAACUACUUCACCUGAACCAACUACUACUACAACCAGUGAGCCAACUACUACCCCUGAAAUAACUACCACAACACCUGAACAAACUACCACUACUUAUACAACAACUACACUUGAACCAACUACUACUACUAAUGAGCCAACAACAUUGACUACAACUGUUAUAACUACGACCACGACCAGUGAGCCAACUACUACUACUGAAUUAACAUCAACUACAACUGCACAAACUACAACAGCCGAACAAACUACAUCUACUACCAUGGUGCCAACAACUACUUCACCUGAACCAACUACUACUACUACCAGUGAGCCAACUACUACCCCAGAAAUAACUACCACAACACCUGAACAAACUACCACUACUUAUACAACAACUACACCUGAAGCAACUACUUCUGGUAAUGGGACAACAACUACUACCCCUGAAAUAACUACCACAACACCUGAACAAACUACCACAACUUAUACAACAAUUACACCUGAACAAACUACCACAACUUAUACAACAACUACACCUGAACCAACUACUACUACUAAUGAGCCAACAACAUUGACUACAACUGUUAUAACUACGACCACUACCAGUGAGCCAACUACUACUACUGAAUUAACAUCAACUACUACUGCACAAACUACAACAGCCGUACAAACUACAUCCACUACCAUGGUGCCAACAACUACUUCACCUGAACCAACUACUACCAGUGAGCCAACUACUACCCCUGAAAUAACUACCACAACACCUGAACAAACUACCACUACUUAUACAACAACUACACCUGAACCAACUACUACUACUAAUGAGCCAACAACAACUACUACCCCUGAAAUAACUACCACAACACCUGAACAAACUACCACUACUUAUACAACAACUACACCUGAACCAACUACUUCUGGUAAUGGGACAACAACUACUACCCCUGAAAUAACUACCACAACACCUGAACAAACUACCACAACUUAUACAACAAUUACACCUGAACAAACUACCACAACUUAUACAACAACUACACCUGAACCAACUACUACUACUAAUGAGCCAACAACAUUGACUACAACUGUUAUAACUACGACCACGACCAGUGAGCCAACUACUACUACUGAAUUAACAUCAACUGCACAAACUACAACAGCCGAACAAACUACAUCUACUACCAUGGUGCCAACAACUACUUCACCUGAACCAACUACUACUACUACCAGUGAGCCAACUACUACCCCUGAAAUAACUACCACAACACCUGAACAAACUACCACUACUUAUACAACAACUACACCUGAACCUAUUACUACUACUAAUGAGCCAACAACAUUGACUACCACUGUUAUUACUACGACCACUACCAGUGAGCCAACAACUACCCCUGAAAUAACCACCACUACUGAAUUAUCAACAACUACUACUGCACAAACUACAACAGCUGAACAAACAACAUCCUCUACCAUGGUGUCAACAACGACUACACCUGAAACAUCUACUUCUACUAAUGUGCCAACAACAUUGACGACAACUGUUAUAACUACGAUCACUACCAGUGAGCCAACUACGACGCCUGAAAUAAUGACCACUACUGAAAUAACAUCAACCACUACUGAACAAACUACAACACCUGAACAAACUACAACUACUUAUACAACAACUACACCUGAACCAACUACUAUUUCUAUCAAGCCGACAACAUUGACUACAACUAUGACAACUACCGGUGAGCUAACAUCACCUACACCUGAACAAACUACAUCUAGUUUUACAGUUCCUACCUCAGAGUCAACUGUAGCCAAUGAUGAUGAGCUAAGACUCAAUGUACCUUCACCAGUUACUACUACUACUAAUGAGCCAACAACAUUGAGUACAACUGUUAUAACUACGACCACGACCAGUGAGCCAACUACUACCCCUGAAUUAACUACCACUACUGAAUUAACAUCCACUAUUACUGCACAAACUACAACAGCCGAGCAAACUACAUCCACUACCAUGGUGCCAACAUCUACUUCACCUGAACCAACUACUACUACUACCAGUGAGCCAACUACUACCCCUGAAACAACCACCACAACACCUGAACAAACUACCACUACUUAUACAACAACUACACCUGAACCAACUACUACUACUAAUGAGCCAACAACUACGACCCCUGAAAUAACUACCACAACACCUGAACAAACUACCACAACUUAUACAACAACUACACCUGAACCAACUACUAAUACUAAUGAGCCAACAACAUUGACUACAACUGUUAUAACUACGACCACAACCAGUGAGCCAUCUACUACCCCUGAACUAACUACCACUACUGAAUUAACAUCAACUACUACUGCACAAACUACAACAGCCGAGCAAACUUCAUCCACUACCAUGGUGCCAUCAACUACUUCACCUGAACCAACUACUACUACUACCAUUGAGCCAACUACUACCCCUGAAAUAACCACCACAACACCUGAACAAACUACCACUACUUAUACAACAACUACACCUGAACCAACUACUACUACUAAUAAGCCAACAACUACUACCCCUGAAUUAACUACCACAACACCUGAACAAACUACCACAACAUAUACAACAACUACACCUGAACCAACUACUACUUCUAUCAAGCCGACAACAUUGACUACAACUACGACAACUACCGGUGAGCUAACAACACCUACACCUGAACAAACUACAUCUAGUUUUACAGUUCCUACCUCAGAGUCAACUGUAGCCAAUGAUGAUGAGCUAAGACUCAAUGUACCUCCACCAGUUACUACUACUACUACUACUCAAGGAAUUGAAGAACCAACUACAGCAAAAGUAGCAGUUACACCUCAUACAAGAACAACCACUUCUAUCAGCAAAACUGAAGAAACACAAAAUAUUUGUCACGAAUUGUCCCAAUUGUUGAACCAUUUUGAAACAGCGAUGUGCGAGGUAAAAAAACUGAUUUUUGAAGAAGUAGAAAAACUUCUGAUUCUACAAAUUCAUGAACAGCUGCUACAUCAGCAACAGCAAUUACUAUUCCUACAACAGCAACUGCCAAUUUACCACCAACAUCAACCACUAAUGCACUGUCAACAACACGUGAUGCUUAAUCACCAACAACUACUGCUUUCUCAGCUUUAUCCUUUACAUCCACAGUUAGACAAUAUUGCGCUCUGCGGUUACCAAUCUAAUCAGUCACCAUACUUUCAAGAACAACUGCAGUUUUGGCACCAUAAACAAUAUCUAACGCUCCAUCAGAUUCAGCAACAUUUGGACAUUUAUCAGUCUCAUCUGUUGCAGUACCACCCCCAACACAGUUUGCAAAGCUGCCAUGACCAUCUCAUGAAUCGUUAUUACCAACAACAGCUUGAUUACCACCCAUACUUUCAGACUUCUCAAGUGCAAAUACCAUCACUUGGAGAUGUCAGUCUGACAAAAAUUAUUGCAUUACCUGAAAAUGAUUCAACUGCAGCAAUAUCACAUGAAGAAUUGUGUCAAGAAUUAUCCCAAAUGCUCAAUGAACUACAAAUACAUUCAUGUCACAUUGAAGAAGUUCUCUCUGAAGAUCCAGAACUGCUGCUCUUGCUUCAAAUGCACCAACAACUCCUUAAACAUCAACAGCAUCUGUUACUCGAACAACAAAACCUGCCAUGUAACCACUCAAACCAACCAUUGUUGCACUGCCAGCAUCAUGUACUUUUAAAUCACCACCAACUACUGCUCUCCAAGUUAAAUUCCAUGAAUUCUCAGUCCAACAUGAUGCAGCUCUGCAGUUAUCAGUCAAAUCUGUCCCCGUACCAAGAACAGCAACUAUUGUUUUGGCACGAUCAACAAAAUAUGAUGCUUUACAAGGUCCAGGAACAUUUGGAUCUUUAUCAACAACAACUGCUACAGUAUCACCCCUUGCAACAUUUGCUUGGCUGUCAAAAUAAUCUCUUGAAUCCGUACUACAACCAAAAGCAAAAUUACAUUCCAUACUUUGAACCUGGACACCUACAAAUACCAACACUUGAAGAUGUGGAUGUGACAGAAACUUUUGCAGACUUUUUUGAUGCACUACCUGAAAAUGUUUCAGUUGCCGCAACAUCACAUAAAGAACUAUGUCAAGAAUUAUCUCAAAUGCUCAACGAACUACAAAUACAUUCAUCUCACAUUGAAGAAGUUCUCUCUGAAGAUCCAGAACUGCUGCUCUUGCUUCAAAUGCACCAACAACUCCUUAUACAUCAACAGCAUCUGUUACUCGAACAACAAAACCUACCAUGUAAUGACUCAAACCAACCAUUGUUGCACUGCCAACAUCAUGUACUUCUAAAUCACCACCAACUACUGCUCUACAAGUUAAAGUCUACGAAUCCUCAGUCUAACAUGAUGCAGCUCUGCAGUUAUCAGUCAAAUCUGUCCCCGUACCAAGAACAACAACUAUUGUUUUGGCACGAUCAACAAAAUAUGAUGUUUUAUAAGGUCCAGGAACAUUUGGAUCUUUAUCAACAACAACUGCUGCAAUAUCACCCCAUGCAACAUUUGCUUGGCUGUCAAAAUAAUCUCUUGAAUCCGUACUACAACCAAAAGCAAAAUUACAUUCCAUACUUUGAACCAGGACACCUACAAAUACCAACACUUGAAGAUGUGGAUGUGACAGAAAAUCUUGCAGACUGUUUUGAUGCACUACCUGAAAAUGUUUCAGUUGCUGCAACAUUACAUAAAGAAUUGUGUCAAGAAUUAUUUCAAAUGCUCAAUGAACUACAAAUACAUGCAUCUCACAUUGAAGAAGUUCUCUCUGAAGAUCCAGGACUGCUGCUCUUGCUUCAAAUGCACCAACAACUCCUUAUACAUCAACAGCAUCUGUUACUCGACCAACAAAACCUACCAUGUAACGACUCAAACCAAGCACUACUGCACUGUCAACAUUAUGUACUGCUAAAUCACCACCAACUUCUACUUGACCAGCUACAUCCAUCGCCAUACCAACAAGGCAUACAGCUUUGCCUUUCCCAACCCAAUCUUUCAUUAGACCGUCAACAGAAACUGGAGCUUUGGCAUGACCAACAGUUUGAAUUGCUCCACCAAGUCCAACAACAUUUAAAUUACACCCAGCAUCAUUUGCAACAGUACCCCGAUAUGCCAAUAGACAACUGCCAGCGUCACCUCCUAUCCCUUAACUCAUAGUAAUAAUACUUCUACAAUGGCUUUAAAGACAAAGUUGUUGCAGCUUCAACAAGAGCAUGUAUUGUGCUGUAGCAAUAAUAACUACUUAUGUACUGACUACUUUUGCUGUUUCACUGACAAGACCAACUUUUUUUGUGCCAACUUGAGCAGUGCCAUGACUAACAUCCGUUUCUCCACCAUCAUCCUCUGAAUGUAGUAAAAUACUGUAGGCUACUCCUCCCAGCCUCAAAUGAGCACCUUCACUACCAUUUACACUACGUUCUUCAUCCGGCAUCAUGACACCACCAAGGAUAACUGUUGCUAAAGUGCAAUGUGGUUAAACUACAGCUUUUCGGGUGAAAGUUAAAAGCUUACAAACAUAUAUGAUUAGAUUUUAUGUAAAUACAUGAGAUUAGUAAUAAAUAAAUUUCAAAGUAUAUUUUUGUGGAAGGA
rnacentral:lncRNA from 1 species